CCUACGGGUGGCAGCAGUGGGGAAUAUUGCGCAAUGGGCGAAAGCCUGACGCAGCGACGCCGCGUGAGGGAUGAAGGUCUUCGGAUCGUAAACCUCUGUCAGCAGGGAAGAACGGUCACUGUGCUAAUCAGCAGUGAAUUGACGGUACCUGCAAAGGAAGCACCGGCUAACUGCGUGCCAGCAGCCGCGGUAAUACGGAGGGUGCGAGGGUUCAUCGGAAUUACUGGGCGUAAAGCGCUCGUAGGCGGGAUGUCAAGUCAAGGGUGAAAUCCCCGCGCGCAACGUGGGAACUGCCUUUGAAGCUGGCAAACUUGAGUGUGUGAGAGGAUAGUGGAAUUCCAGGUGUAGGAGUGAAAUCCGUAGAUAUCUGGAGGAACAUCAGUGGCGAAGGCGACUAUCUGGCACAUAACUGACGCUGAGGAGCGAAAGCGUGGGUAGCAAACAGGAUUAGAUACCCCAGUAGUC
rnacentral:rRNA from 1 species